GAUUGACAUGACUCUCGGCAAUGGAUAUCUCGGCUCUCGCAUCGAUGAAGAGCGCAGCGAAAUGCGAUAUGUGGUGCGAAUUGCAGAAUCCCGCAACCAUCGAGUCUUUGAACGCAAGUUGCGCCCGAGGCCAACCGGCUGAGGGCACGUCCGCCUGGGCCUCAAG
rnacentral:rRNA from 1 species